GCUGUGGGGCAGCUCAGUUGGUAGAGCAUGAGACUCUUAAUCUCAGGCUUGUGGGUUUGAGUCCCAUUUUCAGCA